ensembl:lncRNA
AUAAUUUACGAGAGCGGAUGACAACAGGGCAACUUCCAAUACUUGCAAAGUAGAUAUUUCAUUUAAAGGAGGAAACACUAUGAAAAUGCAAAAGCAUUUGCUCACAAAACACGGGAUAACCUUAAAUGAAUGUCGUGUUUUUAAUUCCGCUCCGGACUCGUGAAUCUCAACCCAGCAGCAGCGGUAACGUUUGCACGUCCUCUCCCGUUAAUGCGGCAGGUGACCAUGAUGAGAGAGACAGACAGAGUCUGGCUGGCUCAGAUGCUGGCAGUUCUCGCUGCAGUCUACCGUUAGCGUCUCCUCUCAGGCCAGGAUGAAUGUCACCGAGCAGUGACUAAGUUUGUGGUCAAAGGCUUGCACCCAUUUGCCACAGCAGAUGCCCCGAUUUUCGGGCUGUUUGAUGACGAUUUGGACUCCUCUGGGAGAUGAGGACACACCCACAUCUGUUCAAUACUGCAGCCAUUGAUGGUGUUACGGCUCUGAGUCAGCUUUGGGCAUCAGACGCACACACUGGAAAACCAGCACCUGGACUUCAUGCAGGAGAGACGGCCUCAGUGAUGAUGGACUCUGCAUCCUCUACUUUACCUCCUAAUCUCUUUCUCCUUUAACACACAAUUAAAAUCAUUCCAAAAGCGUGUAAACUUACUGAGGAAGUCUCUAACUUGUAUACAUUUGUACUUUUACUUGCUUUAGGAGUUAUAUUUAAGAAGAGUAAAGUUAUUCACAAAAAGUCUUUAUUCUUCUGUAUUUAUUCUUUUGUAUUAUGUACCACAGUCAUACUGAACUUUACAGACCUGGUGAAUUGGAAAAAAAUCAUCUAUCUAUCUAUAUAUGUAUGUAUAUGUAUAUGUUUAUAUAUAUAUGAAUGAAUCAUUGAGCUUCAGCAGUAUUUCUAUUCAUCUUAUGAAUUCCAGUUGUAUAAAAGGCUCUGAGAUUUUAUGGCUAUGUUCUACAAUAUUGUGUGGGGUGGAGUCGCAGGAAAUUACGUAGGCAGAAGUUUGGGGUACAGCGCUGCUACUCCAGAAGGGGAGAUUGUCUUUCCGUUUUAGUUCUGUUUUACCUCGUCACGUAAGCUGUGUUCCUGGUUGCCAUCCUUUCUGCCCUUUCUGUGUUAGGAGCCAGAGAUGUAACAUUGGUAUUAUUCGAGUCAUAUGUUAUGUUAUGUAUAUAUUCAGAUGGAUGUGUUGGUUUAUUUCAUUUAAUAUUUUAUGUUUAUCUUAGUGGAGCUGUUGCUGUAUAUAUUUAUAUACUCAUGGCAAUUUGUUUGUUACUAUAGACUGCUGUCAACACUGAGCAUCUAGGUGGCAAUAAAACAGCUGGCGGUGAAAAUCCAGC